UAUGUAGUUGAAUCCCAGAAUUUCACAGGGCAAUAAGAAAGAAAUGGGUGUCCUGAGGACGUGGGCUGCCUCACAUGUCUUUAGGCCAAAUCACCAAUGUCCAACAUGGAGUCCCAGUGUGUCACCUUCAACCACCCAAGCAGGAGUCAGGAGUAAUCCACUGAAUGAACACAGUGAUGUUAUACAGUCAAAGAAUGGUGACCAAAACACAGCAGAAGGAAAAAUUAAACUCAACUCCCAAGAAACCACAGAAGGUGUGUCAAAUGUUCUGUUGACCCACUGAGAGAGGCAUCAUUUAAGAAACCCCACGAAGACUGAAGCUCAUCGCAGGGAUCAAGCAGGACUCAUGAUCUUCACCAGCAGCUCCCUUACAGGGAAAUUUUCAGAGCUCCACCAUAGGCCCACCGCAGAAGAUGGAUAAACCCAGCAUUUCAUGAACACUGUGAUGGAGACCUUUGCUUUUUUAAUUUUAGAUGUACUCAGAUAAUCCUCUACACUACUAGCAAAACCCAGUGUAAAAGAUUUUUAGAAGUUUUUAGUCUAACAUACAAGUGAUGACCUUUGACCUUCAUCAGGUUUUAUUUAAUGCUGUCAGAGAAAAUAUCAUGUCCUCUUCAUGUAGCAGAAGCUGUGCAGGUCUGAGAUCAGCAGCUUUCUGAAACACCAAACUGAGUUAUUGUUAUUAGGCUCCAGUGCAAUCUGUCAGCGUGUGGUAUUUAUAUGGGAGUAACCUGCAGAGCAAUGCUGAGGUUGUGAGUUCGAGCCUCACUUGAGGCAAUGAUGCUUUACAUAAUUUCCUUAGGGAUUGUUAAAGGAUUCUGAUAUGCUCCUAUAUAGUGGCACAGUUACAUGGAUGAUUAAUCUAUUUGUCUUUAACUUUAUCAAUAAAACAGCUG
rnacentral:lncRNA from 1 species